AACCCAUGGUGAGGGAACCUUCUCAGUAAGUCUUUGUAUCUCCCCCAUGCAUCGUAAAGUGUUUCUAAAUCCAUCUGGACAAAAGAAGAGAUAUCAUUACGUAAUUU
rfam:Gossypium arboreum cultivar AKA8401 contig_851_7, whole genome shotgun sequence.